rnacentral:tRNA from 1 species
GUGGCUAUGUCAGAUUUAUAUGAGUUAGCUUUAAGCGUUAAAUAUGGGGAUUGUUCCCCUAGUCACU